CAAUUUUCUAAAGAUAUCAAGGUUUUUCGUACCGAAAUGCCAUGGUAUAUCGAGACAUGGAAUAUUUUAGACUUCUCUCCCAACAAGGUACUCUUAUUCAUCGUUCAUAUCCAAGAACUUCCCAACAAAAUGGUCGUCUCGAACGUAAACAUAGGCAUAUCUUAAAAUGUUACUCGAACUCUUUUAAUCUCUACCUCUUGUCCAGAAAAGUUUUGGGAGGAAGCUUGUCUCACUGCUGUUUAUACUGUCAAUUGUACCCCGUCUACUAUCAUAGACAACAUUUCUCCUUGUGAGAGUUUCUAUGGCAAGGUUCCCUAUUACAGUCGUCUCAAAGUUUUUGGUAGUGCUUGUUUUGUGCACCUCCUUACACAUAAACGCACAAAGUUAGAACCUCAUGCUCGUUUAUGUUGCUUUCUUGGGUAUGGCAUUGAACACAAGGGAUAUAGAUGUUGGGAUCCUAUUUCUAACCGUCUUCGUGUGUCUCGUCAUAUUUCAUUAUGGAAACAUAAGAUGUUCUCAUUCAUUCAUCCCUUUGAAUCUUCUACUCAUGUCCCUUUCUUUACCAAUCCUUUAGUGGAUUUAUUCCCAGAAGAUCUUGUACUACCAUCAACUUGUGAAUCUUCCUCUCCGCAGUUGUAUUCUUCUCAUCUUGAUGCAGGCCCAUCUGGCUCUCCCACUUUGGCAACUUCUGACAUGUCUGCCCUAACCGAUGAUCCUAUGUCUUCAGCCAUUCCAUCUACUUCUGUUCGUCAUUCCACCAGAAUGAGUUGCAAGCCUUGGAAAACUCUCACACAUGGGAUUUGGUUGAAUUACCUCUUGGUAAGUCUGCUGUCGGUAGUAAAUGGGUACAUAAGAUUAAAACCAAGGCAGAUGGCACAGUGGAUCACUAUAAAGCUCGGCUAGUAGCAAAAGGCUUUACUCAGGAGUACGUCAUUGAUUAUGAUGAGACUUUUGCCCCUAUUGCUCGUCUUACUUUUGUUCGCAAUCUUUUUGCUAUUGCCGCUGUUAAACGUUGGCCUCUAUUUCAAAUGGAUGUUAAAAAUGCAUUUCUUAAUGGCAAUCUCACAGAGGAAGUUUAUAUGGUACCUCCUCAUGGAUACUCUCAUUCAUCUAAUAAAGUGUGCCGAUUACAUCGGGCAUUGUA